rnacentral:rRNA from 1 species
CCAGACUCCUACGGGAGGCAGCAGUGAGGAAUAUUGGUCAAUGGGCGCGAGCCUGAACCAGCCAAGUCGCGUGAGGGAAGACGGUCCUAUGGAUUGUAAACCUCUUUAGGCGGGGAGCAAUGCCGGGCACGCGUGUCCGGAGGGAGAGUACCCGCAGAAUAAGCAUCGGCUAACUCCGUGCCAGCAGCCGCGGUAAUACGGAGGAUGCGAGCGUUAUCCGGAUUUAUUGGGUUUAAAGGGUGCGUAGGCGGAUUUUUAAGUCAGCGGUAAAAUGUCCGGGCUCAACCCGGGCCGGCCGUUGAAACUGGGGAUCUUGAGUGGGCGAGAAGUAUGCGGAAUUCUCGGUGUAGCAGUGAAAUGCGUAGAUAUCGAGCGGAACACUCGUGGCGAAGGCGGGUUCCUGGACAUUAACUGACGCUGAGGCACGAAGGCCAGGGGAGCGAAAGGGAUUAGAUACCCCAGUAU